rnacentral:rRNA from 1 species
CGACCGCUGGCGGCGUGCUUAACACAUGCAAAUCGAACGGAAAGGCCCUGCUUUUGUGGGGUGCUCGAGUGGCGAACGGGUGAGUAACACGUGAGUAACCUGCCCUUGACUUUGGGAUAACUUCAGGAAACUGGGGCUAAUACCGGAUAGGAGCUCCUGCUGCAUGGUGGGGGUUGGAAAGUUUCGGCGGUUGGGGAUGGACUCGCGGCUUAUCAGCUUGUUGGUGGGGUAGUGGCUUACCAAGGCUUUGACGGGUAGCCGGCCUGAGAGGGUGACCGGCCACAUUGGGACUGAGAUACGGCCCAGACUCCUACGGGAGGCAGCAGUGGGGAAUAUUGCACAAUGGGCGGAAGCCUGAUGCAGCAACGCCGCGUGCGGGAUGACGGCCUUCGGGUUGUAAACCGCUUUCGCCUGUGACGAAGCGUGAGUGACGGUAAUGGGUAAAGAAGCACCGGCUAACUACGUG